rnacentral:rRNA from 1 species
UGGGAAUGGCGGCAGCUACACAUGCAGUCGAACGAUGAAGCCGCUUCGGUGGUGGAUUAGUGGCGAACGGGUGAGUAACACGUGGGCAAUCUGCCCUGCACUCUGGGACAAGCCCUGGAAACGGGGUCUAAUACCGGAUACGACACAGGAGGGCAUCUUCUCUGUGUGGAAAGCUCCGGCGGUGCAGGAUGAGCCCGCGGCCUAUCAGCUUGUUGGUGGGGUGAUGGCCUACCAAGGCGACAACUGGUAGCCGGCCUGAGAGGGCGACCGGCCACACUGGGACUGAGACACGGCCCAAACUCCUACGGGAGGCAGCAGUGGGGAAUAUUGCACAAUGGGCGAAAGCCUGAUGCAGCGACCCCGCGUGAGGGAUGACGGCCUUCGGGUUGUAAACCUCUUUCAGCAGGGAAGAAGCGCAUGUGACGGUACCUGCAGAAGAAGCACCGGCUAACUACGUGCCAGCAGCCGCGGUAAUACGUAGGGUGCGAGCGUUGUCCGGAAUUAUUGGGCGUAAAGAGCUCGUAGGCGGCUUGUCACGUCGGAUGUGAAAGCCCGGGGCUUAACCCCGGGUCUGCAUUCGAUACGGGCAGGCUAGAGUUCGGUAGGGGAGAUCGGAAUUCCUGGUGUAGCGGUGAAAUGCGCAGAUAUCAGGAGGAACACCGGUGGCGAAGGCGGAUCUCUGGGCCGAUACUGACGCUGAGGAGCGAAGCGUGGGGAGCGAACAGGAUUAGAUACCCUGGUAGUCCACGCCGUAACGUUGGGAACUAGGUGUGGCGAUUUCCACGUCGUCCGUGCCCAUCUAACCAUUAAGUUCCCGCCUGGGGAGUACGGCCGCAGGCUAAACUCAAGGAUUGACGGGGCCGCAUAACGGCGGACAUGUGGCUUAUUCGACGCACGCGAUAACUUACCAGGUUGACUACUCGCAAGCCUAGAAUCAGCCCCCUUGUGGCGUGUCAGGUGUGCAUGCUAUCUCAGCUCUGUCGGAAUGUUGGUUAAUCCGCAAGAGGGAACCUUAUCUGGGUGCAGCUGCUUUCUGGUGAUGGGAUCCCA